UACGUAGGUGGCAAGCGUUGUCCGGAUUUACUGGGCGUAAAGAGCGCGCAGGCGGUCGUGCAAGUCGCGUGUGAAAGCCCCCGGCUCAACCGAGGAAGUGCGCCCGAAACUGCAGAGCUUGAGUACCGGAGAGGAUGGCGGAAUUCCCCAAGUAGAGGUGAAAUUCGUAGAUAUGGGGAGGAACACCGGUGGCGAAGGCGGCCAUCUGGACGGAUACUGACACUGAGACGCGAAAGCGUGGGGAGCAAACAGG
rnacentral:rRNA from 1 species